rnacentral:rRNA from 1 species
UACGUAGGGUGCGAGCGUUAAUCGGAAUUACUGGGCGUAAAGAGCGCGCAGGCGGUCGUUCAAGUCGCGUGUGAAAGCCCCCGGCUCAACUGGGGAGGGUCACGCGAUACUGAUCGACUCGAAGGCAGGAGAGGGUAGUGGAAUUCCCGGUGUAGUGGUGAAAUGCGUAGAUAUUCGGAGGAACGACCAGUGGCGAAGGCG